rnacentral:rRNA from 1 species
GUCUCAGUUCGGAUCGCAGGCUGCAACCCGCCUGCGUGAAGUCGGAAUCGCUAGUAAUCGCGGAUCAGCAUGCCGCGGUGAAUACGUUCCCGGGCCUUGUACACACCGCCCGUCACACCAUGAGAGUCGGGAACACCCGAAGUCCGUAGCCUAACCAAUCUGGAGGGCGCGGCCGAAGGUGGGUUCGAUAAUUGGGGUGAAGUCGUAACAAGGUAUC